CGAACGGGUGAGUAACGCGUGAGGAACCUGCCUCAAAGAGGGGGACAACAGUUGGAAACGACUGCUAAUACCGCAUAAGCGCACAGUACCGCAUGGUACAGUGUGAAAAACUCCGGUGGUGUGAGAUGGAUCCGCGUCUGAUUAGCUAGUUGGCAGGGCAACGGCCUACCAAGGCGACGAUCAGUAGCCGACCUGAGAGGGUGACCGGCCACAUUGGGACUGAGACACGGCCCAAACUCCUACGGGAGGCAGCAUG
rnacentral:rRNA from 1 species